AACGAACGCUGGCGGCAUGCCUAACACAUGCAAGUCGAACGAGACCUUCGGGUCUAGUGGCGCACGGGUGCGUAACGCGUGGGAACCUGCCCUUAGGUUCGGAAUAACUCCCCGAAAGGGGUGCUAAUACCGGAUAAUGUCUUCGGACCAAAGAUUUAUCGCCUUUGGAUGGGCCCGCGUUGGAUUAGCUGGUUGGUAGGGUAAAAGCCUACCAAGGCGACGAUCCAUAGCUGGUCUGAGAGGAUGAUCAGCCACACUGGGACUGAGACACGGCCCAGACUCCUACGGGAGGCAGCAGUGGGGAAUAUUGGACCAUGGGCGAAAGCCUGAUCCAGCAAUGCCGCGUGAGUGAUGAAGGCCUUAGGGUUGUAAAGCUCUUUUACCCGGGAUGAUAAUGACAGUACCGGGAGAAUAAGCUCCGGCUAACUCCGUG
rnacentral:rRNA from 1 species